GAUGAACGCUGGCGGCGUGCCUAAUACAUGCAAGUCGAGCGAACAGACGAGGAGCUUGCUCCUCUGACGUUAGCGGCGGACGGGUGAGUAACACGUGGAUAACCUACCUAUAAGACUUGGAUAACUUCGGGAAACCGGAGCUAAUACCGGAUAAUAUAUUGAACCGCAUGGUUCAAUAGUGAAAGACGGUUUUGCUGUCUCUUUUAGCUGGAUCCGUGCCGCAUUAGCUAGUUGGUAAGGUAACGGCUUACCAAGGCGACGAUGCGUAGCCGACCUGAGAGGGUGAUCGGCCACACUGGAACUGAGACACGGUCCAGACUCCUACGGGAGGCAGCAGUAGGGAAUCUUCCGCAAUGGGCGAAAGCCUGACGGAGCAACGCCGCGUGAGUGAUGAAGGUCUUCGGAUCGUAAAACUCUGUUAUUAGGGAAGAACAAAUGUGUAAGUAACUAUGCACGUCUUGACGGUACCUAAUGAGAAAGCCACGGCUAACUACGUG
rnacentral:rRNA from 1 species